rnacentral:rRNA from 1 species
AACAAACGCUGGCGGCGUGCCUAACACAUGCAAGUCGAACGUGAAAGUUGGCUUCGGCCGACGAGUAAAGUGGCGCACGGGUGAGUAACGCGUGGAUAAUCUGCCCUUCAGUUGGGAAUAACUCAUCGAAAGGUGAGCUAAUACCGAAUAACACUGCCUGACCACGGUCCGGUAGUCAAAGAUAGCCUCUGCUUGCAAGCUUUCGCUGAAGAUGAGUCCGCGUACCAUUAGCUAGUUGGUGGGGUAAUGGCCUACCAAGGCGACGAUGGUUAGCUGGUCUGAGAGGAUGAUCAGCCACACUGGAACUGAGACAACGGUCCAGACUCCUACGGGAGGCAGCAGUGAGGAAUCUUGCGCAAUGGGGGAAACCCUGACGCAGCAACGCCGCGUGAGUGAGGAAGGUCUUCGGAUCGUAAAGCUCUGUCGGGUGGAAGAAUGUAUGGGGUUAAUAGCCUUCAUACUUGACGGUACCACCAAAGGAAGCACCGGCUAACUCCG